GUCUGGGGAUCUGCCCGAUAGAGGGGGAUAACCACUGGAAACGGUGGCUAAUACCGCAUAACGUCGCAAGACCAAAGAGGGGGACCUUCGGGCCUCUCACUAUCGGAUGAACCCAGAUGGGAUUAGCUAGUAGGCGGGGUAACGGCCCACCUAGGCGACGAUCCCUAGCUGGUCUGAGAGGAUGACCAGCCACACUGGAACUGAGACACGGUCCAGACUCCUACGGGAGGCAGCAGUGGGGAAUAUUGCACAAUGGGCGCAAGCCUGAUGCAGCCAUGCCGCGUGUAUGAAGAAGGCCUUCGGGUUGUAAAGUACUUUCAGCGGGGAGGAAGGCAGUGAGGUUAAUAACCUUACUGAUUGACGUUACCCGCAGAAGAAGCACCGGCUAACUCCGUGCCAGCAGCCGCGGUAAUACGGAGGGUGCAAGCGUUAAUCGGAAUUACUGGGCGUAAAGCGCACGCAGGCGGUCUGUUAAGUCAGAUGUGAAAUCCCCGGGCUUAACCUGGGAACUGCAUUUGAAACUGGCAGGCUUGAGUCUCGUAGAGGGGGGUAGAAUUCCAGGUGUAGCGGUGAAAUGCGUAGAGAUCUGGAGGAAUACCGGUGGCGAAGGCGGCCCCCUGGACGAAGACUGACGCUCAGGUGCGAAAGCGUGGGGAGCAAA
rnacentral:rRNA from 1 species